AGAUCUUGCUGUAUCUGGUUCUGUUCUUGAAAAGACAUGACAAAGCUCCAACACAGAUGACAGUGAAACUACCACAUCUGGUUUGUCUUUUCUUGAUAGAUUGUCAAAACAAUCCCAGGAUUGCCUUUCAAGGAAAAUCCAGCAGUUCACACAGACAGGCUUCAGCAGUGCUUAAAUUCUGAUCCUUUGAAGACACAUAGAACUGAAAAUGAGCAACAG